UCCUUUUUAGUAUAGUGGUCAGUAUCUCUGCCUGUCACGUGGGACACCUGGGUUGGAUUCCCUGAUGGGGAA
rnacentral:tRNA from 1 species